UGGGCGUAAAGCGCGCGCAGGCGGUUCCUUAAGUCUGAUGUGAAAGCCCACGGCUCAACCGUGGAGGGUCAUUGGAAACUGGGGAGCUUGAGUGCAGAAGAGGAGAGCGGAAUUCCACGUGUAGCGGUGAAAUGCGUAGAGAUGUGGAGGAACACCAGUGGCGAAGGCGGCUCUUUGUUCUGUAACUGACGCUGAGGCGCGAAACCGUGGGGAGCGAACAGGA
rnacentral:rRNA from 1 species